ACCAACAAUGAUGAUAAGUAGCAAAGAGAUAGUCGUUGAUAACUGCUCUCUUGCAGUUAGUAAAGGACGUCUACAAGCAAUCCGGUGAAUCCAGGGGCAAUCAAUCAGUGUGAUGGUCACCCCAUAUCCUCAGUCAGGGGGUCUCGAAGGCGGCCGUUGACGAGUAGAAACCAAGCUCAAUUCAUUCGCAAGAGCUGAGAUGGUCUCUUUUUCGGAGGAUUUGAGUAUUUCGGCGAGGGAGUUUACGACCAGUUUAAGCACUUUUGUUUGCGUCGAAGCAGGGCAAGCUCAGGGAUGAUAGUGACUAGCUGAUGUGGAAAUGCCCAAUUUGUGGAGCGGAUGUAGGAACUUACUUUGGUGUUUAGUGAUGAUCCUAAUGCUUGAAUGGUAUUUUCAUUGAAAAAAUCAAUAGGGGUCCUCCAUUGAGCCAACAAUCAGUCCAGAAGAAGGGUUUGGUGAUUUUCGAAGAUGGAAAGACACGGGAGAACGAUAUGGCAACAACCAAGAUUCACACCGCUACAGGCGCUCCAGAGGCCCCCCCUCGCUCCUCCGAUGGCCCCAUCAACCACCACCUCGUAGCCCUAACAAUUUCCGUGGUGGAUUUCCAGAGCCGGACAUAAUCACCGUCCUUUUGACAGCCUCCUCGUUACCUUCCCAGAGGCAGCGGUGGAGGCAAAGGAUUCCGCCCGACGAUGGGCGGUGAAGGAGGAGGCGUUGGAUUUGAUUUCAAUCAUGAGAUGCCUCUCUCCGGACAAAAAUGAGGGCAUCCUUUCUCAGGCAAAGGAGGUUCUCCUGGAUGGAUGUGUAUCUUUUGGAGCCCACAAUUUUGCUCCAUUCUAGAUGAGAGGGCCACACCUAGCUAUCAAGAAGUUGAAUUCUGAGAGCUUGCAAGGAUUUCAAGAGUGGCAGGUCAUAGCUAGGAUUGCGGUAUUACGGUUGCCAUUACUUUUUUUGUUGCCGCUAUAUUUUUCGUAUGACUCAUGAAGAAGUUGCAUGGAAGAGAGAGACUAAAACAGAGUAAGAAGAUAUGAAGAACUUUUGUUUUAUUUUGGUUAAGUAAAGAUAUAAGGUGUGGAUCAUGUACAUUUUUGAAAUUUGUAUAUGGUUAAUUUUUGUAUAAAAUCAUGAUUUGGAAUUGGUUAUAUAUAUAUGAUGGUAUUAGCUGGUUGUAUUUUA